rnacentral:rRNA from 1 species
GACAGAGGGUGCAAACGUUGUUCGGAAUUACUGGGCGUAAAGCGCGUGUAGGCGGCUAAGUAAGUCGGGCGUGAAAUCCCACGGCUCAACCGUGGAAGUGCACUCGAAACUGCAUAGCUAGAGUCCUGGAGAGGAAGGUGGAAUGCUUGGUGUAGAGGUGAAAUGCGCAGAUAUCAGGAAGAACACCAAUGGCGAAGGCAGCUCUCUGGGACGGUACUGACGCUGAGACGCGAAAGCGUGGGGAGCGAACAGG